AUGAACUGUGUUAACAGAGGCUACGGUAGGAUUCACCGUGAUGUUUCACAUUUGGCGCGGGGGCAAGAAUUUCGCCAUGAUAGCCUCAAGAAUGUGACGAUCUAUAGUUUCUACUCUGCUAAGAGCAUGAUUGAGUUAACCUGUUGUAUGCUGAAGCACACGGCUUCACUUGAGUGCCUGACGCUGGACACCACCUAUGGUUACUCUAGGUGUUCCUCAUGCAGAAGCGGCAGGUGCUUCCCCAUGGACACGCGUGAUGUCCUACAAGCCAAGAAAGCGCUCGUGGCUAUAAGAAGAUACAUCAAGCCCGAAGUACCCUGUAAUGUCAACUUGAUUGUUGUGGAGCCUUGCAGUUCCUGUCAUGUGAGCGAUAACUGA
rnacentral:rRNA from 1 species